rnacentral:rRNA from 1 species
GGAAUAUUGGACAAUGGGCGAAAGCCUGAUCCAGCGACGCCGCGUGUGUGAAGAAGGCCUGCGGGUUGUAAAGCACUUUCGAUGGGAACGAAAUGUGCCGGGCUAAUACCCCGGCAAGCUGACGUUACUCAAUGAAGAAGCACCGGCUAACUCUGUGCCAGCAGCCGCGGUAAUACAGAGGGUGCGAGCGUUAAUCGGAAUUACUGGGCGUAAAGCGCACGUAGGUGGCGACGUAAGUCGGGUGUGAAAGCCCCGGGCUCAACCUGGGAAUUGCAUUCGAGACUGCAUUGCUGGAGUACGGAAGAGGAGGGCGGAAUUCCCGGUGUAGCAGUGAAAUGCGUAGAUAUCGGGAGGAACAUCCGUGGCGAAGGCGGCUACCUGGACCAGCACUGACACUGAGGCACGAAAGCGUGGGGAGCAAAC